rnacentral:lncRNA from 1 species
CUUCGUCACACAUUGAUCUAAAAAUUUCAAAAUUGUUUUCCAUGGAGACUCGACGUACGUCUUCAACAAAAUUAUUCUGAACGAUUGUAAAUAAGAUAAUUAAAAAAUAUUCAUGCUUGUAUUAAAUUUAUAAAUCAUAUUAAAACUAUUACCAUACGAUAACAGUAAGUGCCAUCAGAUGUCAUAAAGCGUCUGGUAAUCGACGUGUACCAAGAACUAUAAUUACUAUAAUUAUUAUAAUUAUUAUAAUAAUUAUUAUUUUGAUUAUGAUUAUUCUUAUUAUUCUUAUUAUUUUAUUAUUAUUAUUGUUAUUAUUAUUAUCAUUAUCAUUAUUAUAAUUAUUAUUAUAAUUAUUCUUAUUUUAUUAUUAUUAUGAUUAUGAUUAUGAUUAUUCUUAUUAUUCUUAUUAUUAUUAUUAUUAUUUUAUUGUUAUUAUUUUUAUUAUCAUUAUUAGUCAAAUCAUUGUUAAAAUUAAAAAAAGAAAAAAUGUACAUUAAAGGUGCAUUAAAUAGGUUUCCUUUUAGAUUUUUAUUAAUAAUUAUAUUUUUUUUAAAAUAAUAAUAAUAAUUUUUAUUAUUUUUAUUUUUAUUAUUAUUAAUAUUAUUAUUAUUUUUAUUAUUAUUAUUAUUAUUAUUAGUAGUAGUAGUAGUCAAAUCAUUGUUAAAAUUAAAAAAAAGAAGAAAAAGUACGUCAAAGGUGCAUUAGUUAGGUUUCCCUUUUAGAUUUUUAUUAAUAAUUAUAUUUUUAAUAAUAAUUAUUAUUAUUUUUAUAUUUAUUUUUAUUAUUAUUAUUAUUAUUAUUAUUAUUAUUAUUAUUAUUAUUAUUAUUAUUAUUAUUAAGGUUCAAACAAUAUAACUAAAUUCAAACAAUAUAAUUAAAUUCAAACAAUAUAACUAAAUUCAAACAUUUUUUAUUCAUAAAAUAAGAAAAUGAAAUAACAAAUCUAAAUAAAAUUAGAGUUAGAAUAAACAAAAAUACCUUGUGAAGCGGAAGCAGACAAUGGAGGAUUUAAGAAGCCUACAACAAAAAUUAAAUUAUUUUAUCAACAUAAUAAUAAAAUAAAAUAAUUAUAACAACAAAAUCAUGUACCCGAUCCACGAUUUUUAAAAAAAUAUAACUUUAUGAUGAAAAUACUUAACUGAAAAAAUGGAUGAACAAAAGAGAAAAUCUUCAUAAUUAAAUACCAUUACUGUAUAGGUAGAUCUCGUUGUGAAAGACUGAUUACUAGAUAAUUCAUGGGUAGAGCCGAAGAAGGUGACCUGUACAAGUUAACAAUAACAUUGAUGAAAUAAAAGAAGGAGCUCCGGUGUAUAGAGAGGACCUCACCGUUUAAGAAGUAACCAUAGAAACGAAGGAACCCACUAUUUCUUUAUCCAUUUCUAUUUUGAUUUAUUUACUCUAUGUUUGUUUUUUAUACCUAGUCAAAAUACUAUUUCGUAUUUUGGGGUGGAGGAAAUGUGAAGAGAGGAAGAGAGGAAGAGAAAAUUUGAAAUUGGGAGGGAGAAUGAAAUAGGAAGAGAAAAAAUGAAGAGAGGAAGAGGAAAGAUGAGGGGAGAAAGAGAAAAUUUGAAAUUGGGAGGGAGAAUGAAUUAGGAAGAGGAAAGAUGAAGAGAGAGAAAAGAAAUAAGAAAUUUGAGAUGAAGAUAGGAAAGAUGAAGGAAGGAGGGAGAAGGAAAGAGGAAGAGGAAAAAUUAAGAGAGGAAGGAGAAAAAG